rnacentral:rRNA from 1 species
AGAGUUUGCUCCUGGCUCAGGAUGAACGCUGGCGGCGUGCCUAACACAUGCAAGUCGAACGGGGCGCGCCGGCGGGGGCCCUCCGGGGCUGAAGCCGGCGCCGCCCAGUGGCGGACGGGUGAGUAACGCGUGGGCAACCUGCCCCGCACUGGGGGACAACAGCCGGAAACGGCUGCUAAUACCGCAUGGGCGCACAGCCCCGCAUGGGGCGGUGCGGAAAGCCUUGGCGGUGCGGGAUGGGCCCGCGUCUGAUUAGCUUGUUGGCGGGGCAACGGCCCACCAAGGCGACGAUCAGUAGCCGGCCUGAGAGGGUGGGCGGCCACAUUGGGACUGAGACACGGCCCAAACUCCUACGGGAGGCAGCAGUGGGGGAUAUUGCACAAUGGGGGGAACCCUGAUGCAGCGACGCCGCGUGGGCGAUGGAGCGCCUCGGCGCGUAAAGCCCUAUCAGCAGGGAAGAAAAUGACGGUACCUGACUAAGAAGCCCCGGCUAAAUACGUGCCAGCAGCCGCGGUAAUACGUAUGGGGCAAGCGUUAUCCGGAUUUACUGGGUGUAAAGGGAGCGCAGGCGGCCUGGCAAGCCUGAUGUGAAAUACCGGGGCCCAACCCCGGGGCUGCAUUGGGAACUGCCAGGCUGGAGUGCCGGAGAGGCAGGCGGAAUUCCUAGUGUAGCGGUGAAAUGCGUAGAUAUUAGGAGGAACACCAGUGGCGAAGGCGGCCUGCUGGACGGUGACUGACGCUGAGGCUCGAAAGCGUGGGGAGCAAACAGGAUUUAGAUACCCUGGGUAGUCCACGCCGUAAACGAUGAAUACCAGGUGUCGGGGCGCAAGGCGCCCCGGUGCCGCAGCAAACGCAGUAAGUAUUCCACCUGGGGAGUACGUUCGCAAGAACGAAACUCAAAGGAAUUGACGGGGACCCGCACAAGCGGUGGAGCAUGUGGUUUAAUUCGAAGCGACGCGAAGAACCUUACCAAGCCUUGACAUCCCGCCGGCAGCAUAUGCAACGUAUGCCCCCUUCGGGGCGGCGGAGACAGGUGGUGCAUGGUUGUCGUCAGCUCAUGUCGUGAGAUGUUGGGUUAAGUCCCGCAACGAGCGCAACCCCUGCCCCCAGUAGCCAGCGCGUGAGGGCGGGCACUCUGGGGGGACUGCCAGGGACAACCUGGAGGAGGGCGGGGACGACGUCAAAUCAUCAUGCCCCUUAUGGCUUGGGCUACACACGUGCUACAAUGGCGCGGACAGAGGGAUGCGACGUGGCGACACGGAGCGAACCCCAAAACCCGCGCCC